rnacentral:rRNA from 1 species
UUCCAGACUCCUACGGGAGGCAGCAGUGAGGAAUAUUGGUCAAUGGGCGAGAGCCUGAACCAGCCAAGUCGCGUGAAGGAUAACGGCCCUACAGGUUGUAAACUUCUUUUGUCAGGGAGCAAUUGAGUCCACGUGUGGGCUUAGCGAGAGUACCUGAAGAAAAAGCAUCGGCUAACUCCGUGCCAGCAGCCGCGGUAAUACGGAGGAUGCGAGCGUUAUCCGGAUUUAUUGGGUUUAAAGGGUGCGUAGGCGGAAUAUCAAGUCAGCGGUAAAAAUUCGGGGCUCAACCCCGUCGUGCCGUUGAAACUGAUGUUCUUGAGUGGGCGAGAAGUAUGCGGAAUGCGUGGUGUAGCGGUGAAAUGCAUAGAUAUCACGCAGAACUCCGAUUGCGAAGGCAGCAUACCGGCGCCCAACUGACGCUGAAGCACGAAAGCGUGGGUAUCGAACAGGAUUAGAUACCCUAGUAC